rnacentral:rRNA from 1 species
AUUGAACGCUGGCGGCAGGCCUAACACAUGCAAGUCGAGCGGAGCGGCGGACGGGUGAGUAUUGCCUAGGAAUCUGCCUGGAAGUGGGGGAUAACGUCAGGAAACGGGCGCUAAUACAGCAUAAUAUCAGAUGAGCCUAGAUCGGAUUAGCUAGUUGGUGGUGUAAAGGCCUACCAAGGCGCCGAACCGUAACUGGUCUGCGAGGAUGAUCAGUCACACUGGCACUAAUACACGGUCCAGACUCCUACGGGAGGCAGCAGAGGGGAAUAUUGGACAAUGGGCGAAAUCCUGAUCCAGCCAUGCCGCGUGUGUGAAGAAGGUCUUCGGAUUGUAAAGCACUUUAAGUUGGGAGGCGUUACCAACAGAAUAAGCACCGGCUAACUUCGUGCCAGCAGCCGCGGUAAUUC